GAGUAGGCAUGUAUGCGUUAAGUAUCGGAUGGACGGGGAGUUGUCAUCCGGGCGAAAAGCAGAGCUUGCGAUAUGCAUGCCGCAUCCCGCUGC
rnacentral:ncRNA from 1 species